rnacentral:rRNA from 1 species
CACGUAGGGGCCAAGCGUUGUCCGGAUUUAUUGGGCGUAAAGAGCGUGUAGGCGCCAGACAGGUCCGUUGUGAAAACUCGAGGCUCAACCUCGAGAUGUCGAUGGAAACCGUCUGGCUAGAGUCCGGAAGAGGAGUGUGGAAUUCCUGGUGUAGCGGUGAAAUGCGCAGAUAUCAGGAAGAACACCUAUGGCGAAGGCAGCACUCUGGGACGGUACUGACGCUGAGACGCGAAAGCGUGGGGAGCGAACAGG